GAUGAACGCUGGCGGCGUGCCUAAUACAUGCAAGUCGAGCGAAUGGAUUAAGAGCUUGCUCUUAUGAAGUUAGCGGCGGACGGGUGAGUAACACGUGGGUAACCUGCCCAUAAGACUGGGAUAACUCCGGGAAACCGGGGCUAAUACCGGAUAACAUUUUGAACCGCAUGGUUCGAAAUUGAAAGGCGGCUUCGGCUGUCACUUAUGGAUGGACCCGCGUCGCAUUAGCUAGGUGGUGAGGUAACGGCGCACCAAGGCAACGAUGCGUAGACGCUCUGAUGCGUUGAUCGGCACCACGCGGACCGAGACACGACCCAGACCCCGACGGGAGGCAGCAGUAGGGAAUCUUCCGCAAUAGACAAAAUGCUGACGGGGCAAGGCCGCGUGAGAGAUGAAGGCUUUCGGGUCUUAAAACUCUGUUGUUAGGGAAGAACAAGUGCUAGUUGAAUAAGCUGGCACCUUGACGGUACCUAACCAGAAAGCCACGGCUAAUUACGUGCCAGCCGCCGCCGUAA
rnacentral:rRNA from 1 species